rnacentral:rRNA from 1 species
GACGGAGGAUGCAAGCGUUAUCCGGAAUGAUUGGGCGUAAAGCGUGCGCAGGCGGUUUUGUAAGACAGUCGUGAAAUCCCCGGGCUCAACCUGGGAAUGGCGAUUGUGACUGCAAGGCUGGAGUGCGGCAGAGGGGGAUGGAAUUCCGCGUGUAGCAGUGAAAUGCGUAGAUAUGCGGAGGAACACCGAUGGCGAAGGCAAUCCCCUGGGCCUGCACUGACGCUCAUGCACGAAAGCGUGGGGAGCAAACAGG